rnacentral:lncRNA from 1 species
GCUCCCCGGAUCAGCUCCCUUCACGCAGUUCCUUCGAGGCAGCACUCCAAGCAGCCAGCAGGUCUUGGCGCCCAUCAGGCUCGGCUCUCUAGGCCGCCGCUCUUUGCGACGACAGCACAGCCACAGAAAGGUCUACCGGGCACCUUCUGACGCCUGGGCGGCGCCUCCGCGCUCCCAUUUUGAAAAACUCCCGCCGGUGGCUGUCCUUAGAGGUUGGAGGUGACGUAAAGAGGCGGGUCGCUCCGAAGAGGUUGAGCCGGGCCGCGCAUGCGUGGUAGGCGCCUUAGCCCUCCCGCCCCCGCACGAGGACCGGAAGUGUUUCGGAGUCCUGCAGUCUUGGCCGGAAGUGUUGGCAGUUCGGCUUUUGGGAGACCAGCUCCAGAAGGAUAGAAAGGGUAACUUGGAAUAUGGACAUUUACUUACUUCAGGGUUGAACAGUCUGCCUCCCAUACUGAAAAUUUUCAAGCUUUUGGACAGAACUGAACAGUGAACAAGUCUGGUGAUGAAGCUUGGACUACUUAAAGUAUCUUAGUUUCAUAGUCCCUCGUCCCAUAUAAAUAUAUGAAGCACCAAAACUGGAGCCAAGGUCUGAACAGGUUAUGUAACAGCAAGAACUAUAAUUUAAUCACAUCAUAUCAUAUUACACUAUGUAACAUUCUAUAUUUGCCUGUUGAUAUGUAACAGUUUAUUACAAGCAUUAUUUCCUAAGACUUAUGUGGUAUAAGUGUUUCUUUUCAAGUAUUACGGCUUAUAGUGUUUAUGUUAACAGUAAAUCACUGAUAAAUGUAUAUAAUGCAAUACACAUUGUGCCAUUUCUCCCUACCCUGUGUUAACAUUAACAAAAUGAACUAAGAAAACAAAAACUAUUUAAAACUAAAAACAAAGGCUAUCAACAUCACAGUUGCACGUCUGAGUAAGUCAACAGCAUUUCCCCCUUAACAUGAAGGUAUUUUCAUCAAAAAUGCUUCAUCGUUUUUAGGCGAGCAUUACUUUAGCAGCAGCUGGUCUUCAGGACAAGUAGAUCAGACGUUUCAAGUGCAAAAGACACUGAAUUACUCUGAGAAACAUCAAUCCACAUGACUAAUGAAAAGAAGCAAACUGCUGGUGUCACCUUAACAUAAAAUUGUGCAUUUUCCCCUUCAGUGUGUGUUUUAGUUCAUUUAUGUGAUAAUAAAGUUUUGGAGUUCUCAUGGCACACCACUGAUAUGGACUAGUUUGUCAAGGAACCUAUUUGUUUUUAAUGUUUAAAUUAUAAUAGUACAAUAACUACAAAAAGGUCAGUGCCUUGGUGGCUUUAAACCACAUCAGUUUCAAUGUUUUUAAAAAUAAUGAUGCAAUUAAAUCUAUGCUUCUGCAACAAUAGUGCAAUAUAGUAUCCUUUCCUGAAUAAAGGAGCUGAGGUUUAUCCAAGUAGAAGCUUUAAGUAAGGUAGAUUGUUGCCAACUACUUAUCAGUCUUGCAUGUUUGACCUAAAAUAGAUUAGGAAAGCUUAAACUGACUUGUUAAUCUAUAUUCAGCU